AGCCACUGCCAGGCCCAAGGUGAAUUAUUAUUAUUCACAAGGAUGCUGCCUUGGAUCUGCGGAUUGUGAAGGAAGCCCCAGGGGAUGGAGGCAGUGACCCUCUCAGGACGAUGACCUGGGGGUCCCAGCUCCCCUGGAGGGGCCUCCUCAUGAUUAUUUGGGAGUUGAUCAUGGACACUGGCAUAGCAGAGAGUGACGAGUGAUAUUGCCACGUGACACGUCUGUCGCCAGACCUUCUUGCCCCUGUUGCCUCAGCAUAACAUGGAUCGACUUUUUGCUCUGUGGAGGGGAAGCCCUGCAACCCUGGGGACUUGAGGUCCAGAGUGGGAGUCCCUUCCGCUGGCUCUGCCCUGCCCAGUUAUGCCACAGAGCGCCACGAUCUGGGGAGACUGGUUUUCCUUUGUCUCAGCCAGCCUGUGUGUCCUCCUGCCUGCUCCUGGUGUGACUUUUGAGGACCGAGAGUUCUUGUUGAGGUUUUCUGCACUGUGCACCUUUGUCUUUUCACCCGACUCAAUAAAUCUUUAAACAUGC